CAGCAGAAUGACGCCCGGUCUACGCCGUCCGCUUUUCCAGCGAGUUAAUUGAUAAAGCCAGUGCCCGUCAUCACCUCUCUAGCACAUCUGGAGGGAAGUCUUGCACAACCACAAGGAAACGUGGUCACAUGAAACUUUAGAAAUCUGCUUCGUCCAUGCAUGCAAGUCACCCCUACGCGUGCCUGGGUAUCAAUUAUGUAAAGGGAAGUCAGCGCAAGGCUUAGCAACACGCGUUUGGAGACACUCACAGUGACGACGGGCAUUCUCGUUAAAUCUGCCUUUUAUUGAAAAUUCUGCAGUGACUGCACAGCUCAGCAUGGCUCCUAUCGGGACAUGUGGUGCCCAGAUUCCUUCUCUUCUUUGUCUCUUUUCCUUCACAGAAUUCUCAUUAAAAUUACUUAGAGUGAAACAGAGAGACCCUGUUAUAAAAUAAAUCCAGUUAAAUACA